GUGGGAAACGAUGUGGGAAGGCACAGACAGCCAGGAUGUUGGCUUAGAAGCAGCCAUCAUUUAAAGAAAGCGUAAUAGCUCACUGGUCGAGUCGGCCUGCGCGGAAGAUGUAACGGGGCUAAACCAUGCACCGAAGCUGCGGCAGCGACACUAUGUGUUGUUGGGUAGGGGAGCGUUCUGUAAGCCUGCGAAGGUGUGCUGUGAGGCAUGCUGGAGGUAUCAGAAGUGCGAAUGCUGACAUAAGUAACGAUAAAGCGGGUGAAAAGCCCGCUCGCCGGAAGACCAAGGGUUCCUGUCCAACGUUAAUCGGGGCAGGGUGAGUCGACCCCUAAGGCGAGGCCGAAAGGCGUAGUCGAUGGGAAACAGGUUAAUAUUCCUGUACUUGGUGUUACUGCGAAGGGGGGACGGAGAAGGCUAUGUUAGCCGGGCGACGGUUGUCCCGGUUUAAGCAUGUAGGCUGGUUAUCCAGGCAAAUCCGGAUAAUCAAGGCUGAGGUGUGAUGACGAGGCACUACGGUGCUGAAGUAACAAAUGCCCUGCUUCCAGGAAAAGCCUCUAAGCAUCAGGUAACAUCAAAUCGUACCCCAAACCGACACAGGUGGUCAGGUAGAGAAUACCAAGGCGCUUGAGAGAACUCGGGUGAAGGAACUAGGCAAAAUGGUGCCGUAACUUCGGGAGAAGGCACGCUGGUGUGUAGGUGAAGUCCCUGCGGAUGGAGCUGAGACCAGUCGAAGAUACCAGCUGGCUGCAACUGUUUAUUAAAAACACAGCACUGUGCAAACACGAAAGUGGACGUAUACGGUGUGACGCCUGCCCGGUGCCGGAAGGUUAAUUGAUGGGGUUAUCCGUAAGGAGAAGCUCUUGAUCGAAGCCCCGGUAAACGGCGGCCGUAACUAUAACGGUCCUAAGGUAGCGAAAUUCCUUGUCGGGUAAGUUCCGACCUGCACGAAUGGCGUAAUGAUGGCCAGGCUGUCUCCACCCGAGACUCAGUGAAAUUGAACUCGCUGUGAAGAUGCAGUGUACCCGCGGCAAGACGGAAAGACCCCGUGAACCUUUACUAUAGCUUGACACUGAACAUUGAGCCUUGAUGUGUAGGAUAGGUGGGAGGCUUUGAAGCGUGGACGCCAGUCUGCGUGGAGCCAACCUUGAAAUACCACCCUUUAAUGUUUGAUGUUCUAACGUUGGCCCCUUACCGGGGUUGCGGACAGUGUCUGGUGGGUAGUUUGACUGGGGCGGUCUCCUCCCAAAGCGUAACGGAGGAGCACGAAGGUUAGCUAAUCCUGGUCGGACAUCAGGAGGUUAGUGCAAUGGCAUAAGCUAGCUUGACUGCGAGCGUGACGGCGCGAGCAGGUGCGAAAGCAGGUCAUAGUGAUCCGGUGGUUCUGAAUGGAAGGGCCAUCGCUCAACGGAUAAAAGGUACUCCGGGGAUAACAGGCUGAUACCGCCCAAGAGUUCAUAUCGACGGCGGUGUUUGGCACCUCGAUGUCGGCUCAUCACAUCCUGGGGCUGAAGUAGGUCCCAAGGGUAUGGCUGUUCGCCAUUUAAAGUGGUACGCGAGCUGGGUUUAGAACGUCGUGAGACAGUUCGGUCCCUAUCUGCCGUGGGCGCUGGAGAAUUGAGGGGGGCUGCUCCUAGUACGAGAGGACCGGAGUGGACGCAUCACUGGUGUUCGGGUUGUCAUGCCAAUGGCACUGCCCGGUAGCUAAAUGCGGAAGAGAUAAGUGCUGAAAGCAUCUAAGCACGAAACUUGCCCCGAGAUGAGUUCUCCCUGAGACUUUAAGUCUCCUGAAGGAACGUUGAAGACGACGACGUUGAUAGGCCGGGUGUGUAAGCGCAGCGAUGCGUUGAGCUAACCGGUACUAAUGAACCGUGAGGCUUAACCUU
rnacentral:rRNA from 1 species